rnacentral:rRNA from 1 species
AUUGAUCGCUGGCGGCAGGCCUAACACAUGCAAGUCCAACGAGUGGCGGACGGGUGAGUAAUGUCUGGGAACCUGGCUGAUGGAGGGGGAUAACUACUGGAAACGGUAUCUAAUACCGCCUACCAUAAGAUGAUCCCAGAUGGGAUUAGCUUGUUGGGGGUGUAACGGCUCACAAAGGCGACGAUCCCUAGCUGGUCUGAGAGGAUGACCAGCCACACUGGCGCGGAGACAAGGUCCAGACUCCAACGGUGGGCAGCAGUGGGGAGUAGUGCGCAAUGGGCGAAAGCCUGAGGCAGCCAUGCCGAGUGUAUUAAGAAGGCCUUCGGGUUGUAAAGUACUUUCAGCGGAGGGGCGUUGCCCGCAGAAGAAGGACCGGCGAACUCCGUGCCAGCAGCCGCGGUAAUAC